AGGGUUUGAUCAUGGCUCAGAUUGAACGCUGGCGGCAGGCCUAACACAUGCAAGUCGAGCGUGAAAGCACUUCGGUGUGAGUAGAGCGGCGGACGGGUGAGUAACGCGUAGAAAUCUACCUAGUAGUGGGGGACAACCUGGUGAAAACCAGGCUAAUACCGCAUACGUCCUACGGGAGAAAGCAGGGGAUCUUUGGACCUUGCGCUAUUAGAUGAGUCUGCGUUGGAUUAGCUAGUUGGUGGGGUAAAAGCCUACCAAGGCGACGAUCCAUAGCUGUUCUGAGAGGAAGAUCAGCCACACUGGAACUGAGACACGGUCCAGACUCCUACGGGAGGCAGCAGUGGGGAAUAUUGCACAAUGGGCGAAAGCCUGAUGCAGCCAUGCCGCGUGUGUGAAGAAGGCUCUAGGGUUGUAAAGCACUUUCAAUUGGGAGAAAAAGCUAAUAGUUAAUACCUAUUAGCCUUGAUGUUACCUUUAGAAGAAGCACCGGCUAACUCCGUGCCAGCAGCCGCGGUAAUACGGAGGGUGCAAGCGUUAAUCGGAAUUACUGGGCGUAAAGCGCGCGUAGGCGGUUUGGUCAGUUGGAUGUGAAAGCCCCGGGCUUAACCUGGGAACUGCAUUCAAUACUGCCAGACUAGAGUAUGAGAGAGGGGGGUAGAAUUUCUAGUGUAGCGGUGAAAUGCGUAGAUAUUAGAAGGAAUACCAGUGGCGAAGGCGGCCCUCUGGCUCAAUACUGACGCUGAGGUGCGAAAGCGUGGGGAGUAAACAGGAUUAGAUACCCUGGUAGUCCACGCCGUAAACGAUGUCUGCUAGCCGUUGGCGACUUUAAGUUGCUAGUGGCGAAGCUAACGCGAUAAGCAGACCGCCUGGGGAGUACGGCCGCAAGGUUAAAACUCAAAUGAAUUGACGAGGGC
rnacentral:rRNA from 1 species